rnacentral:rRNA from 1 species
GACGGAGGGUUCUAGCGUUGUUCGGAAUGACUGGGCGUAAAGGGCGCGUAGGCGGUUAUAUUAGUUGGGUGUGAAAGCCCCGGGCUUAACCUGGGAACUGCAUUCAAUACUGUAUGACUUGAGGACGGAAGAGGAAAGUGGAAUACCUAGUGUAGAGGUGAAAUUCGUAGAUAUUAGGUGGAACACCAGAGGCGAAGGCGGCUUUCUGGUCCGUUACUGACGCUGAGGCGCGAAAGCGUGGGGAGCAAAC